rnacentral:tRNA from 1 species
GUAGAGGUGACUCGGUCGUUAAGAGUACUACCUGCUCUUCCAGAGGACCUGGGUUCAAUUCCCAGCACCUACA